rnacentral:lncRNA from 1 species
CUCGAUUCCUGUGGCCAGCUCUGCCCUAGGAACUCAUGCCAGCAAACGGUAUUUAUUAUCCUUCUCGGCCUCACCUGGAGAUAGGUCUUCCCUGCCUUAGACACCACCAGAAAAGCAACUAAUACAGGAUCCCAAGUUGUUUAGACAGUACUCAGACCACUAAGAUGCCAAGAAGAAAAAUUAAUCAAACGGCGAUCAAAUGAUUCUAGAAGGUUCUGUCUCACAGCAGAAGAUCCACUCUGUAACUCCAGUCUUCCAUAUCUUAGGAGACAACUUGGAGAUAGUGUUUCCUCUUGAGCAUUGAGUCACAGGCACAGAAAGGCGCGUAGUCAGUGUGCAAAUGACCUAGACUGUUGUGACUCAAAAUAAGACUGCUUUAUUUUUGCAGAGACUCAGAGACUCUUUUCCUUAAAGAAUACAUACCAGAAAAAUGAUUUUUCUAGUGUUUUGUUUUGUUUUUUAGUUGAAAUGUAAUGGACAUCACAAAUAAGUUAUUCCAAACUAGCCCUUGUCCUAAGAGCCCUACCAUUACCUUCAAAGAAAGAAAUUAGCUCUGGAAGAAAAAUGUUAAGGAAACUGUUAAGGACCUGCCAACAACCAGCA